UACGUAGGCAGCAAGCGUUGUUCGGAGUUACUGGGCGUAAAGGGUGUGUAGGCGGUCUUCUAAGUCUGGUGUGAAAUCUCCCGGCUCAACUGGGAGGGUGCGCCGAAAACUGGAAGGCUAGAGUGCGGGAUGGGAGAGUGGAAUUCCUGGUGUAGCGGUGAAAUGCGUAGAUAUCAGGAGGAACACCUGUGGUGUAGACAGCUUACUGGACCACGACUGACGCUGAGACACGAAAGCGUGGGUAGCGAACAGG
rnacentral:rRNA from 1 species